AUUGAACGCUGGCGGCAUGCCUUUCACAUGCAAGUCGAACGGUAACAGGUCUUCGGAUGCUGACGAGUGGCGAACGGGUGAGUAAUACAUCGGAACGUGCCCGAUCGUGGGGGAUAACGGAGCGAAAGCUUUGCUAAUACCGCAUACGAUCUACGGAUGAAAGCAGGGGACCGCAAGGCCUUGCGCGGACGGAGCGGCCGAUGGCAGAUUAGGUAGUUGGUGGGAUAAAAGCUUACCAAGCCGACGAUCUGUAGCUGGUCUGAGAGGACGACCAGCCACACUGGGACUGAGACACGGCCCAGACUCCUACGGGAGGCAGCAGUGGGGAAUUUUGGACAAUGGGCGAAAGCCUGAUCCAGCCAUGCCGCGUGCAGGAUGAAGGCCUUCGGGUUGUAAACUGCUUUUGUACGGAACGAAAAGACUCUUUCUAAUAAAGAGGGUCCAUGACGGUACCGUAAGAAUAAGCACCGGCUAACUACGUG
rnacentral:rRNA from 1 species